rnacentral:rRNA from 1 species
AUACAGAGGGUGCGAGCGUUAAUCGGAAUUACUGGGCGUAAAGCGCGCGUAGGCGGCUUAUUAAGUCAGAUGUGAAAUCCCCGGGCUCAACCUGGGAACUGCAUCUGAUACUGGUAAGCUAGAGGUGUGGAGAGGGAAGUAGAAUUUCAGGUGUAGCGGUGAAAUGCAUAGAGAUCUGAAGGAAUACCAGUGGCGAAGGCGACUUCCUGGCCAAAAACUGACGCUGAGGUGCGAAAGCGUGGGUAGCAAACGGGAUUAGAAACCCUAGUAGUCC